rnacentral:rRNA from 1 species
GACGAACGCUGGCGGCGUGCUUAACACAUGCAAGUCGAACGGAGAGGCCCUGCUUUUGUGGGGUGCUCGAGUGGCGAACGGGUGAGUAACACGUGAGUAACCUGCCCUUGACUUUGGGAUAACUUCAGGAAACUGGGGCUAAUACCGGAUAGGAGCUCCUGCUGCAUGGUGGGGGUUGGAAAGUUUCGGCGGUUGGGGAUGGACUCGCGGCUUAUCAGCUUGUUGGUGGGUAGUGGCUUACCAAGGCUUUGACGGGUAGCCGGCCUGAGAGGGUGACCGGCCACAUUGGGACUGAGAUACGGCCCAGACUCCUACGGGAGGCAGCAGUGGGGAAUAUUGCACAAUGGGCGGAAGCCUGAUGCAGCAACGCCGCGUGCGGGAUGACGGCCUUCGGGUUGUAAACCGCUUUCGCCUGUGACGAAGCGUGAGUGACGGUAAUGGGUAAAGAAGCACCGGCUAACUACGUG